rnacentral:ncRNA from 1 species
ACAACGGAGAGUUUGAUCCUGGCUCAGGACGAACGCUGGCGGCGUGCUUAACACAUGCAAGUCAAGGGGAAUAGGGUAGCAAUAUCCUUAGUACACUGGCGCACGGGUGAGUAAAAUAUAAGUAACCUACCUCUAGAUAUGGGAUAACACUUCGAAAGAAAUGCUAAUACCGUAUAAUGCAGCGGCACCACAUGGUGAUGUUGUUAAAGUCGUAGUAGACGUCUAGAGAUGGGCUUGUAACUGAUUAGCUAGUUGGCGGGGUAACAGCCCACCAAGGCUACGAUCAGUAGCUGGUCUGAGAGGAUGAUCAGCCACACUGGAACUGAGACACGGUCCAGACUCCUACGGGAGGCAGCAGUGAGGAAUAUUGGGCAAUGCCCGAAAGGGUGACCCAGCAACGCCGCGUGAAGGAUGGAGGCCGUAAGGUUGUAAACUUCUUUUGUAGGGGACGAAAAAGCUUGUUGAAAGCAAGCAUUGACGGUACCCUAAGAAAAAGCCCCGGCUAACUACGUGCCAGCAGCCGCGGUAAUACGUAGGG